rnacentral:rRNA from 1 species
AGUGAACGCUGGCGGUAGGCCUAACACAUGCAAGUCGAACGGCAGCACAGUAAGAGCUUGCUCUUACGGGUGGCGAGUGGCGGACGGGUGAGGAAUACAUCGGAAUCUACUUUUUCGUGGGGGAUAACGUAGGGAAACUUACGCUAAUACCGCAUACGACCUACGGGUGAAAGCAGGGGAUCUUCGGACCUUGCGCGAUUGAAUGAGCCGAUGUCGGAUUAGCUAGUUGGCGGGGUAAAGGCCCAACAAGGCGACGAUCCGUAGCUGGUCUGAGAGGAUGAUCAGCUACACUGGAACUGAGACACGGUCCAGACUCCUACGGGAGGCAGCAGUGGGGAAUAUUGGACAAUGGGCGCAAGCCUGAUCCAGCCAUACCGCGUGGGUGAAGAAGGACUUCGGGUUGUAAAGCCCUUUUGUUGGGAAAGAAAAGCAGCAGGUUAAUACCCCGCUGUUCUGACGGUACCCAAAGAAUAAGCACCGGCUAACUUCGUG